CAGCAGCCGCGGUAAUACGUAGGGGGCAAGCGUUAUCCGGAAUCACUGGGCGUAAAGGGUGCGUAGGCGGCUGAUAAAGUCCGGGGUGAAAGGCUACGGCUUAACCGUAGUAAGCCUUGGAAACUUAUCAGCUUGAGUACAGGAGAGGAAAGUGGAAUUCCUAGUGUAGCGGUGAAAUGCGUAGAUAUUAGGAGGAACACCAGUGGCGAAGGCGACUUUCUGGACUGUUACUGACGCUGAGGCACGAAAGCGUGGGGAGCGAACAGGAUUAGAUACCCUGGUAGUCCACGCCGUAAACGAUGAGUGCUAGGUGUCGGGGGUCGAACCUCGGUGCCGCAGCUAACGCAUUAAGCACUCCGCCUGGGGAGUACGUUCGCAAGAAUAAAACUCAAAGGAAUUGACGGGGACCCGCACAAGCAGCGGAGCAUGUGGUUUAAUUCGAAGCAACGCGAAGAACCUUACCUGGACUUGACAUCCCUUUGACCGCUUCUUAACCGAAACUUUCCCUUCGGGGACAAAGGUGACAGGUGGUGCAUGGUUGUCGUCAGCUCGUGUCGUGAGAUGUUGGGUUAAGUCCCGCAACGAGCGCAACCCCUGUCUUUAGUUGCCAGCAUUAAGUUGGGCACUCUAGAGAGACUGCCGAGGAUAACUCGGAGGAAGGUGGGGAUGACGUCAAAUCAUCAUGCCCCUUAUGUUCAGGGCUACACACGUGCUACAAUGGGCGGUACAACGGGCAGCGAGCUCGCGAGAGCAAGCCAAUCCCUUAAAGCCGUUCUCAGUUCGGAUUGUAGGCUGAAACUCGCCUACAUGAAGCUGGAGUUGCUAGUAAUCGCGGAUCAGAAUGCCGCGGUGAAUGCGUUCCCGGGUCUUGUACACACCGCCCGU
rnacentral:rRNA from 1 species